rnacentral:rRNA from 1 species
AUUGAACGCUGGCGGCAUGCCUUACACAUGCAAGUCGGACGGCAGCAUGGAAGAGCUUGCUCUUCUGAUGGCGAGUGGCGAACGGGUGAGUAAAGCAUCGGAACGUACCGUGUAGUGGGGGAUAACGUAGCGAAAGUUACGCUAAUACCGCAUACGCACUGAGGUGGAAAGCAGGGGAUCGCAAGACCUUGCGCUAUACGAGCGGCCGAUGUCAGAUUAGCUAGUUGGUAGGGUAAAGGCCUACCAAGGCGACGAUCUGUAGCGGGUCUGAGAGGAUGAUCCGCCACACUGGGACUGAGACACGGCCCAGACUCCUACGGGAGGCAGCAGUGGGGAAUUUUGGACAAUGGGGGAAACCCUGAUCCAGCCAUGCCGCGUGAGUGAAGAAGGCCUUCGGGUUGUAAAGCUCUUUCGGCUGGGAAGAAAUCGCACAGGCUAAUACUCUGUGUGGAUGACGGUACCAGCACAAGAAGCACCGGCUAACUACGUGCCAGCCGCCGCCGUAA